rnacentral:rRNA from 1 species
GAGCUUGCUCUCGGGUGACGAGUGGCGGACGGGUGAGUAAUGUCUGGGAAACUGCCUGAUGGAGGGGGAUAACUACUGGAAACGGUAGCUAAUACCGCAUAACGUCGCAAGACCAAAGAGGGGGACCUUCGGGCCUCUUGCCAUCAGAUGUGCCCAGAUGGGAUUAGCUAGUAGGUGGGGUAACGGCUCACCUAGGCGACGAUCCCUAGCUGGUCUGAGAGGAUGACCAGCCACACUGGAACUGAGACACGGUCCAGACUCCUACGGGAGGCAGCAGUGGGGAAUAUUGCACAAUGGGCGCAAGCCUGAUGCAGCCAUGCCGCGUGUAUGAAGAAGGCCUUCGGGUUGUAAAGUACUUUCAGCGAGGAGGAAGGCAUUAAGGUUAAUAACCUUAGUGAUUGACGUUACUCGCAGAAGAAGCACCGGCUAACUCCGUGCCAGCAGCCGCGGUAAUACGGAGGGUGCAAGCGUUAAUCGGAAUUACUGGGCGUAAAGCGCACGCAGGCGGUCUGUCAAGUCGGAUGUGAAAUCCCCGGGCUCAACCUGGGAACUGCAUUCGAAACUGGCAGGCUAGAGUCUUGUAGAGGGGGGUAGAAUUCCAGGUGUAGCGGUGAAAUGCGUAGAGAUCUGGAGGAAUACCGGUGGCGAAGGCGGCCCCCUGGACAAAGACUGACGCUCAGGUGCGAAAGCGUGGGGAGCAAACAGGAUUAGAUACCCUGGUAGUCCACGCCGUAAACGAUGUCGACUUGGAGGUUGUUCCCUUGAGGAGUGGCUUCCGGAGCUAACGCGUUAAGUCGACCGCCUGGGGAGUACGGCCGCAAGGUUAAAACUCAAAUGAAUUGACGGGGGCCCGCACAAGCGGUGGAGCAUGUGGUUUAAUUCGAUGCAACGCGAAGAACCUUACCUACUCUUGACAUCCAGAGAACUUAGCAGAGAUGCUUUGGUGCCUUCGGGAACUCUGAGACAGGUGCUGCAUGGCUGUCGUCAGCUCGUGUUGUGAAAUGUUGGGUUAAGUCCCGCAACGAGCGCAACCCUUAUCCUUUGUUGCCAGCGGUUCGGCCGGGAACUCAAAGGAGACUGCCAGUGAUAAACUGGAGGAAGGUGGGGAUGACGUCAAGUCAUCAUGGNCCNCUUACGAGUAGGGCUACACACGUGCUACAAUGGCAUAUACAAAGAGAAGCGACCUCGCGAGAGCAAGCGGACCUCAUAAAGUAUGUCGUAGUCCGGAUUGGAGUCUGCAACUCGACUCCAUGAAGUCGGAAUCGCUAGUAAUCGUAGAUCAGAAUGCUACGGUGAAUACGUUCCCGGGCCUUGUACACACCGCCCGUCACACCAUGGGAGUGGGUUGCAAAAGAAGUAGGUAGCUUAACCUUCGGGAGGGCGCU